rnacentral:rRNA from 1 species
GAUGAACGCUGGCGGCGUGCCUAAUACAUGCAAGUCGAGCGAACAGACGAGGAGCUUGCUCCUCUGACGUUAGCGGCGGACGGGUGAGUAACACGUGGAUAACCUACCUAUAAGACUGGGAUAACUUCGGGAAACCGGAGCUAAUACCGGAUAAUAUAUUGAACCGCAUGGUUCAAUAGUGAAAGACGGUUUUGCUGUCACUUAUAGAUGGAUCCGCGCCGCAUUAGCUAGUUGGUAAGGUAACGGCUUACCAAGGCAACGAUGCGUAGCCGACCUGAGAGGGGGAUCGGCCACACUGGAACGGAGACACGGUCCAGACUCCUACGGGAGGCAGCAGUAGGGAAUCUUCCGCAAUGGGCGAAAGCUUGACGGAGCAACGCCGCGUGAGUGAUGAAGGUCUUCGGAUCGUAAAGCUCUGUUAUUAGGGAAGAACAAAUGUGUAAGUAACUAUGCACGUCUUGACGGUACCUAAUCAGAAAGCCACGGCUAACUACGUG